UGGGUAAAAGUGCAUUUGAGUCA
rnacentral:siRNA from 1 species